GCAUAUCAAUAAGCGGAGGAAAAGAAACUAACAAGGAUUCCCUUAGUAACGGCGAGUGAACCGGGAAGAGCUCAAAUUUGAAAUCUGGCUGUCUUCGAUAGUCCGAGUUGUAAUCUAUAGAAGCGUUUUCCGUGCUGAACUGUGUCUAAGUCCCUUGGAACAGGGUAUCAAAGAGGGUGACAAUCCCGUACUUGGCACAAUCAUCAGUGCUCUGUGAUACGCUCUCUACGAGUCGAGUUGUUUGGGAAUGCAGCUCAAAAUGGGUGGUAAAUUCCAUCUAAAGCUAAAUAUUGGCGAGAGACCGAUAGCGAACAAGUACCGUGAGGGAAAGAUGAAAAGCACUUUGGAAAGAGAGUUAAACAGUACGUGAAAUUGUUGAAAGGGAAACGAUUGAAGUCAGUCGUGUUCAUUGGAUUCAGCCGGUCUUCGGUGUACUUCCUUUGAACGGGUCAACAUCAGUUUUGCCCGGUGGAUAAAGGCAGUAGGAAUGUGGCCUCUCCGGAGGUGUUAUAGCCUAUUGUCACAUACACUGGGGGAGACUGAGGACUGCAGCUCGCCUUUUGGCCGGGGUUCGCCCACGUUCGAGCUUAGGAUGUUGACAUAAUGGCUUUAAACGACCCGUCUUGAAACACGGACC
rnacentral:rRNA from 1 species